rnacentral:rRNA from 1 species
GUGAGGAAUUUUCCGCAAUGGGCGAAAGCCUGACGGAGCAAUGCCGCGUGAAGGAUGAAGGCCUAUGGGUUGUAAACUUCUUUUCUCAGAAAAGAAUUAUGACGGUAUCUGAGGAAUAAGCAUCGGCUAACUCUGUGCCAGCAGCCGCGGUAAGACAGAGGAUGCAAGCGUUAUCCGGCAUGAUUGGGCGUAAAGCGUCUGUAGGUUGUUUAAAAAGUAUUCUGUCAAAGAUUAGGGCUUAACCCUAGAUAGGCAGAAUAAACUUUUAAGCUAGAAUUUGGUAGAGGCAGAGGGAAUUCCCGGUGGAGCGGUGAAAUGCGUAGAUAUCGGGAGGAACACCAAAGGCGAAGGCACUCUGCUGGGCCAAUACUAACACUGAGAGACGAAAGCGAGGGGAGCAAAUGGGAUUAGAAACCCUGGUAGUCC